rnacentral:rRNA from 1 species
UACGUAGGGGGCAAGCGUUGUCCGGAAUCAUUGGGCGUAAAGAGCGUGUAGGCGGCCAGAAAAGUCCGCUGUGAAAACUCGAGGCUCAACUUCGAGCUGUCGGUGGAAACUUUCUGGCUAGAGUCCGGAAGAGGAGAAUGGAAUUCCUGGUGUAGCGGUGAAAUGCGUAGAUAUGCGGAGGAACACCGAUGGCGAAGGCAGUCCCCUGGGCCUGUACUGACGCUCAUGCACGAAAGCGUGGGGAGCAAACAGG